rnacentral:rRNA from 1 species
UACAACGAGAAGCGAGCCUGCGAAGGCAAGCGGAUCUCUUAAAGCUGUUCUCAGUUCGGACUGCAGUCUGCAACUCGACUGCACGAAGCUGGAAUCGCUAGUAAUCGCGAAUCAGAAUGUCGCGGUGAAUACGUUCCCGGGUCUUGUACACACCGCCCGUCACACCACGGAAGUUGGGGGUGCCCAAAGUUGGCAGGAUAAUAUGUUACCUAAGGCAAAACCGAUGACUGGGGUGAAGUCGUAACAAGGUAAC